GACGAACGCUGGCGGUGUGCUUCACACAUGCAAGUCGAACGAGGUAGCAAUACCUAGUGGCGGACGGGUGAGUAACGCGUGGGAAUCUGCCUUAAGAUGGGGGAUAACGAGCCGAAAGGCUCGCUAAUACCGCAUAUGCCGAAAGGUGAAAGGAGUAAUCCGUCUUAAGAUGAGCCCGCGUCCGAUUAGCUAGUUGGUAAGGUAAAGGCCUACCAAGGCGACGAUCGGUAGCUGGUCUGAGAGGAUGAUACAGCCACAAUGGGACUGAGACACGGCCCAUACUCCUACGGGAGGCAGCAGUGGGGAAUUUUACGCAAUGGGGGAAACCCUGACGUAGCGACACCGCGUGAGCGAAGAAGCCCCUUGGGGUGUAAAGCUCUGUCAGCUGGAACGAAAAAAAUGACGGUACCAGCAGAGGAAGCAUCGGCUAACUACGUG
rnacentral:rRNA from 1 species